UUACCUACGGAAGCCGAGAACGGCCAUCGAUUAUUAAUUUUUUUAUGCACUGUUAUCUCGUGAUAACGACUUAUUAUCUCGUUUUCUCGAUAUAACAAAGGUCGUUUUCUCGUGAUAACGAAUUAAUUAUCUUGUUUUCUCGAUAUAACAAAGGUCGUUUUCUCGUGAUAACGAAUUAAUUAUCUCGUUUUCUCGAUAUAACAAAGAUCGUUUUCUCGUGAUAACGAAUUAAUUAUUUCGUUAUCUCGAUAUAACAGACAGACUUUUGGCGCUGGUUAAUGUGAUCGUGCUGAUUUCAGCCUACGAGAGCUUCCACUGUCUGAUCCAGGUGUGUCCCAGGGAGGUGAAAAUGGCAGAUCACAUUAUUGAUCAACGCAUCAGGACCUACUUCAACCAAGGUCUAACACAGGCAGAAAUUGCAUUGUGCC